GUAUUAUAUUUUGUAAAAAAAUAUUCAGACAAACAUUUAGGCGUAAUUGAAACAGAAAAAACUCUGGCAGACUUCGGGCCCAAACACCCAGGCUUUCCCCUCUAGAAAAAAAGGAAAAAGAGUCUGCCAAAGCAUAUUUCAAUGUGUGCACAUGGUGAAUGAUCAUGGUUGCCGGCCGCUGUGGUUGAGCGGUGAUCGGCAUGACCUUGUAAUGAUCCUUCCGCAGGUUCACCUACGGAAA
rnacentral:misc_RNA from 1 species